AUGAGUCAAAGACAAAAGGUGAGGAAAGAAAGAAAGAAAGAAAGAAAGAAAGAAAGAAAGAAAGAAAGAAAGAAAGAAAGAAAGAAAGAAAGAAAGAAAGAAAGAAAGAAAGAAAGAAAGAAAGAAAGAAAGAAAGAAAGAAAGAAAGGAAGGAAGGAAGGAAGGAAGGAAGGAAGGAAGGAAGGAAGGAAGGGAGAGAGACAAAGGACGAAAAAGAGAGAGAAAGGAAGAAAGAAAAAGGAAGUAGGGAAGGAAGGCAGAGAGAAAGGAGAAAAGAAGGAAGGAAAGAAGGAAGGAAGGAGAGAAGAAAGGGAGAGAGAAAGAAGGAAGGAAGGAGAGAAGGAAAGAAAGAAGGAAAAGAAAAAUGUGAGUUCUCCUAAGCAAUGUGAUCACAAUUUUAUAUCGAAACUAGAGUCACAUAAAAAUGCCACUUACUUGGAAGGUAAGGCUAAAGUCAGAUCUGCUAUGCCCCUCUAUUGCCAUUGCUUGUCUACCAGCCAAGUGGGAUCCAAGCCAGAUCUUGUCUAGGGAUCGCCAUCUCUGAUGCUGACAUUUUCCUCCUCGUAGCAAGCCCAGUCCUGCUUUUGCUGCCGUAAGCACAGCCACUCGGGUUGACGUAGCCGCUGCACCCCAAAGCCUUUUAGGACCUUCUGAUGCUGAAGAGGUUGAUUUCAGAGGAAAGGGACACCCAACAGGGAAGGCAAAGCAUCCAGAGGCCUCUGGGACAAGCCUAGCUAGCUCCACAUUCCAUGGAGGGGGCAGGGGCUGUUGUGUUGGGCUAGAGAAGGACCCUUCCUUCCUCCACCCCUUGACUGAAGUCACAAUUUGUUUCCUGGCCAGCCAGAAGCUGCCUCAUCUUCUAUUAGGUGUGGCACUCUGUGUCAUCAGCUCUUUCAGCUCAGCAACCAAUCAAAGAUGCUUAAGCCAGAGAUGAAUCAUAUAUAGCCAGAAGCAGGCAGAGGAUAUCUAUGCUGUGCUCAAGUUUCUACAUAUUCCUCUAUGGACAGGCGGAGGAAAUCUGUCAGCACUCCAAGGAGGUGUAGGGGAGGGCUGGUGUGGGGAAGUGGGGUGCCCCCAGAGGGUGCCACAUGUACAUAGAUCCAGCCAUAGUCUCUCUCCUGAUAACAGGCCUGCAUUUCCAAUUGACCCCUGAAGAGUUUGGCCCGUAGGUCCCAUUACUGUUGUCAUUCGGUUAUUUCUUUCAGUCAUGUCCAAUUCUUCAUGACUCUAUUUGGGGUUUUCUUGGUAGAGAUACUGAAGCGAUUUGCCAUUUCCUUCUCUGGCUCAAUAGAGGCCAUCAGGGUUAAGUGACUUGCCCAGGGUCACACCAAAAAGGAGAUAUCAGCCCUUUCCUCAAAGGUUUAUUGUGGGGAAUCAAUUGUGAUCAUAUAUUUUAAGCAAACCUUAAGGUGCAGUAUAAAUCCUGGUUGUUGUUAUUAUUAUUAUUAAUCACAGGAUCUGCCAAAGGACAUCCCAGAGGUCCUUCAAUUCAAUCUGAUUGGAAUCCUCCCAUAUAAUCUGCCUGACAAAUCCUUCCUCCAGAGAAACAUAAAAAAGACAAAUACAAGUGAACAAUGCUCCCCAUUUAUAAGGGCUUUAUAAGUGUUUGACAUUCUCUUGGGGGAGGGAAAAAGGGAGUCCCUUCAGAACUCCAUUCUUAUCCGAGGUCCUAGAGGGGGGGGCAAGAAGGAGGGCCUAGAAGUGGUUUUGUUAUGUUCUGAUGACCUUAAAGGAAGAGGGAAUGGAGAAGGAUAUGCUGAGGGCAAGAUGGGGAGGAAGAGGCAGCUAGGUAGCAUAAUGGAUAGAAUGCCAGGCCUGGAGUCAGAAGGACCUGAAUUCAAAUCUGAUUUAGACAUUUCCUAGAUGUCUGACCCUGGGCAAGUCACUUAGGCCUUAUUGCCCUUAUUGCCCUUAUUGCCUUUUUGUCUUGGAAGUCAUAUUAAAAUAGAAGGUGAGAGAGAGAGAGAGAGAGAGAGAGAGAGAGAGAGAGAGAGAGAGAGAGAGAGAGAGAGAGAGAGAGAGAGAAGGAAGGAAGGAAGGAAGGAAGAGGAAGAAAGAAAGAAAGAAAGAAGGAAGGAAAGAAAGGAAGAAAGAAAGAAUGGAGAGAGAGAGGGAGGGAGAAGAAGGAGGGAGGAAGGAAGGAAGGAAAGGAAGAAAGAAGGAAGGAAGGAAGAAAGAAAGAAAGAAAGAAAGAAGGAAAGAAAGGAAGAAAGAAAGAAUGGAGAGAGAGAGGGAGGGAGAAGAAGGAGGGAGGAAGGAAGGAAGGAAAGAAAGAAAGAAGGAAGGAAGGAAGAAAGAAAGAGAGAAAGAAAGAAAGAAUGGAGUGAGAGAGGGAGGGAGAAGGAGGGAGGAAGGAAGGAAGGAAGGAAAGAAAGAAAGAAGGGAGGAAAGUAAGACAGAAAAAGAAAGAAAGGAAAAAAGAGAGGGAUGGAGGGAGGAGGAAGGAGAAAAAAGAAGGGAGGAAAGAAGCAAAAUAAAAAAUAAAAGGCAAAAAUGGGGGAGUACUCC
ensembl:lncRNA